GAUGAACGCUGGCGGCGUGCCUAAUACAUGCAAGUCGAGCGAACAGACGAGGAGCUUGCUCCUCUGACGUUAGCGGCGGACGGGUGAGUAACACGUGGAUAACCUACCUAUAAGACUGGGAUAACUUCGGGAAACCGGAGCUUAUACCGGAUAAUAUACUGCACCGCAUGGUUCAAUAGUGAAAGACGGUUUUGCUGUCACUUAUAGAUGGAUCCGCGCCGCAUUAGCUAGUUGGGAAGUUCACGGCUUACCAAGGCAACGAUGCGUAGCCGACCUGAGAGGCGGAUCGGCCGCACUGGAGCUGAAACACGGUCCAUGCGCCUGCGGGAGGCAGCAGUAGGGAAUCGUCCGCAGAGGGCGAAAGCAUGACGGAGCGACGCGGCGUGUGUGAUAAAGGUCUUCCGAGCGUAAAACUCUGUUAUUAGGGAAGAACAAAUGUGGAAGUAACUAUGCACGUCUUGACGGUACCUAAUCAGAAAGCCACGGCUAACUACGUG
rnacentral:rRNA from 1 species